CAUGCGGUCUACCAUGCAGUCGAACGAUGAAGCCCAGCUUGCUGGGUGGAUUAGUGGCGAACGGGUGAGUAACACGUGGGUGAUCUGCCCUGCACUCUGGGAUAAGCCUGGGAAACUGGGUCUAAUACCGGAUAUGACCUCGGGAUGCAUGUUCUGGGGUGGAAAGUUUUUCGGUGCAGGAUGAGCCCGCGGCCUAUCAGCUUGUUGGUGGGGUAAUGGCCUACCAAGGCGACGACGGGUAGCCGGCCUGAGAGGGCGACCGGCCACACUGGGACUGAGACACGGCCCAGACUCCUACGGGAGGCAGCAGUGGGGAAUAUUGCACAAUGGGCGCAAGCCUGAUGCAGCGACGCCGCGUGAGGGAUGACGGCCUUCGGGUUGUAAACCUCUUUCACCCAUGACGAAGCGCAAGUGACGGUAGUGGGAGAAGAAGCACCGGCCAACUACGUGCCAGCAGCCGCGGUAAUACGUAGGGUGCGAGCGUUGUCCGGAAUUACUGGGCGUAAAGAGCUCGUAGGCGGUUUGUCGCGUCGUCUGUGAAAUCCCGCAGCUCAACUGCGGGCUUGCAGGCGAUACGGGCAGACUCGAGUACUGCAGGGGAGACUGGAAUUCCUGGUGUAGCGGUGAAAUGCGCAGAUAUCAGGAGGAACACCGGUGGCGAAGGCGGGUCUCUGGGCAGUAACUGACGCUGAGGAGCGAAAGCGUGGGUAGCGAACAGGAUUAGAUACCCUGGUAGUCCACGCCGUAAACGGUGGGCGCUAGGUGUGGGUUUCCUUCCACGGGAUCCGUGCCGUAGCCAACGCAUUAAGCGCCCCGCCUGGGGAGUACGGCCGCAAGGCUAAAACUCAAAGGAAUUGACGGGGGCCCGCACAAGCGGCGGAGCAUGUGGAUUAAUUCGAUGCAACGCGAAGAACCUUACCUGGGUUUGACAUGUACCGGACGACUGCAGAGAUGUGGUUUCCCUUGUGGCCGGUAGACAGUGGUGCAUGGCUGUCGUCAGCUCGUGUCGUGAGGAUGUUUGGGUU
rnacentral:rRNA from 1 species